CCUCGACCUUAGUUGCCAGCAUUCAGUUGGGCACUCUAAGGUGACUGCCGGCUAAAAGUCGGAGGAAGGUGGGGAGUGACGUCAAAUCAUCAUGCCCCUUAUGACCUGGGCUACACACGUGCUACAAUGGGCGGUACAAAGGGUCGCGAACCCGCGAGGGGGAGCCAAUCCCAAAAAGCCGCUCUCAGUUCGGAUUGCAGGCUGCAACUCGCCUGCAUGAAGCCGGAAUCGCUAGUAAUCGCGGAUCAGCAUGCCGCGGUGAAUACGUUCCCGGGCCUU
rnacentral:rRNA from 1 species